rnacentral:rRNA from 1 species
GCUUUGGGGUGGGGUGACUGCGUACCUUUUGUAUAAUGGGUCAGCGACUUAUAUUCUGUAGCAAGGUUAACCGUAUAGGGGAGCCGAAGGGAAACCGAGUCUUAACUGGGCGUUAAGUUGCAGGGUAUAGACCCGAAACCCGGUGAUCUAGCCAUGGGCAGGUUGAAGGUUGGGUAACACUAACUGGAGGACCGAACCGACUAAUGUUGAAAAAUUAGCGGAUGACUUGUGGCUGGGGGUGAAAGGCCAAUCAAACCGGGAGAUAGCUGGUUCUCCCCGAAAGCUAUUUAGGUAGCGCCUCGUGAACUCAUCUUCGGGGGUAGAGCACUGUUUCGGCUAGGGGGUCAUCCCGACUUACCAACCCGAUGCAAACUGCGAAUACCGAAGAAUGUUAUCACGGGAGACACACGGCGGGUGCUAACGUCCGUCGUGAAGAGGGAAACAACCCAGACCGCCAGCUAAGGUCCCAAAGUCACAGUUAAGUGGGAAACGAUGUGGGAAGGCUCAGACAGCCAGGAUGUUGGCUUAGAAGCAGCCAUCAUUUAAAGAAAGCGUAAUAGCUCACUGGUCGAGUCGGCCUGCGCGGAAGAUGUAACGGGGCUAAACUGUGCACCGAAGCUGCGGCAGCGACGCUUAUGCGUUGUUGGGUAGGGGAGCGUUCUGUAAGCCUGCGAAGGUGUCCUGUGAGGGAUGCUGGAGGUAUCAGAAGUGCGAAUGCUGACAUAAGUAACGAUAAUGCGGGUGAAAAGCCCGCUCGCCGGAAGACCAAGGGUUCCUGUCCAACGUUAAUCGGGGCAGGGUGAGUCGACCCCUAAGGCGAGGCCGAAAGGCGUAGUCGAUGGGAAACGGGUUAAUAUUCCCGUACUUGGUGUUACUGCGAAGGGGGGACGGAGAAGGCUAUGUUGGCCGGGCGACGGUUGUCCCGGUUUAAGCGUGUAGGCUGGUUUUCCAGGCAAAUCCGGAAAAUCAAG